rnacentral:piRNA from 1 species
UCCAACCAAAUCGUACUGUUGCAGAAAAGG